rnacentral:rRNA from 1 species
AUAAAAAACCAAUGCCCUUCGGGGCUCCUUGGUGAUUCAUAAUAACUUCACGAAUCGCAUGGCCUUGCGCCGGCGAUGGUUCAUUCAAAUUUCUGCCCUAUCAACUUUCGAUGGUAGGAUAGUGGCCUACCAUGGUGGCAACGGGUAACGGGGAAUUAGGGUUCGAUUCCGGAGAGGGAGCCUGAGAAACGGCUACCACAUCCAAGGAAGGCAGCAGGCGCGCAAAUUACCCAAUCCCGAUACGGGGAGGUAGUGACAAUAAAUACUGAUACAGGGCUCUUUUGGGUCUUGUAAUUGGAAUGAGAACAAUCUAAAUCCCUUAACGAGGAACAAUUGGAGGGCAAGUCUGGUGCCAGCAGCCGCGGUAAUUCCAGCUCCAAUAGCGUAUAUUAAAGUUGUUGCAGUUAAAAAGCUCGUAGUUGAACCUUGGGCCCGUCCUGCCGGUCCGCCUCACCGCGAGUACUGGUCCGGAUGGGCCUUUCUUUCUGGGGAAUCCCAUGGCCUUCACUGGCUGUGG